rnacentral:rRNA from 1 species
UUCCGGUUGAUCCUGCCAGAGGUCACUGCUAUCGGGGUUCGAUUAAGCCAUGCGAGUCGAGAGGGUUCGGCCCUCGGCGUACUGCUCAGUAACACGUGGAUAACCUGCCCUAGGGGAGGGGAUAACCCCGGGAAACUGGGGAUAAUACCCUAUAGGUUACAGAUGCUGGAAUGCCCUGUAACCAAAAGCUCCGGCGCCCUAGGAUGGAUCUGCGGCCGAUUAGGUUGUUGUUGGGGUAACGGCCCAACAAGCCCGUAAUCGGUACGGGUUGUGGGAGCAAGAGCCCGGAGUUGGAUUCUGAGACUCCAAUCCAGGCCCUACGGGGCGCAGCAGGCGCGAAACCUUUACAAUGCGGGCAACCGUGAUAAGGGAACCUCGAGUGCCUGAAAACGCAGGCUGUUCAUGUGUUUAAAACGCACCUGGAUAAAGGGCCGGGAAAGACCGGUGCCACCCGCCGCGGUAAUACCGGCGGCUCUUGUGGUGGCCGCUUUUAUUGGGGGAUUGGUUUUAUCUAAUUGUUAAAUGCCUUCGGAUUCUCGUGGCUUAUCCGU